rnacentral:rRNA from 1 species
GACGAACGCUGGCGGCGUGCUUAACACAUGCAAGUCGAGCGGAAAGGCCCUUCGGGGUACUCGAGCGGCGAACGGGUGAGUAACACGUGAGUAACCUGCCUCUGGCUUUGGGAUAACCCUCGGAAACGGGGGCUAAUACCGGAUAUGACUUCUCACCGCAUGGUGGGGGGUGGAAAGUUUUUUCGGCCAGGGAUUGGCUGGCGGCCUUUCAGCUUGUUGGUGGGGUGAUGGCCUACCAAGGCGGUGACGGGUAGCCGGCCUGAGAGGGCGACCGGCCACACUGGGACUGAGACACGGCCCAGACUCCUACGGGAGGCAGCAGUGGGGAAUAUUGCGCAAUGGGCGCAAGCCUGAUGCAGCGACGCCGCGUGAGGGAUGACGGCCUUCGGGUUGUAAACCUCUUUCGGCAGGGACGAAGCCUUUCGGGGUGACGGUACCUGCAGAAGAAGCGCCGGCCAACUACGUGCCAGCAGCCGCAGUAACAC